CACUCCUACAGAGAUAUAAAACACAAUACAUGACUUAAAAAAUCAGAUGCCCUAUAAAGAACAGCUUGCGACUUGGCAAGUACCCGUUAUUAAUUGCUGUCAACAUCCAUGUAGACCAGGAGUGCCCAAUCCUACUUCUGGAGAGCCAUAGUCCUGCAGAGUUUAGUUCCAACCCUAAUAAAACAAAUCUGAAUCAGCCAUUAAGAUUUACUAGGAUUACCUGAAAUUAGUGUGUUGGAACUAUUUUUUGCAGGACCUUUGCCUGUCAGCAUUAGGAUUGGGCUCCCCUGCUUUAGACUCUUAGCAUACAGUUACAAAAUGUGCAAACUUAAGGUUUCAAACAAGUUAAUAAUAUGUUCACCCACACCCACAGAUUACCUGUAUAUCCCAGCAGGCAUUCACACAGGUCUCACCACGAAAACCGUCUGAACAAGUGCAUUCAAAUCCAUCCACUAUACGUCUACAGGUGCCAUUGUUGAGGCAGGGUUCAUCAACACAGUCUGUGAUGCGACGACUGCAGUCCUCUCCUCCAAAACCAGGCAUUGAGACAGAAGGAGAGAGGGAACUUACCCCAUUUGAACAUCAUCAUGGUCAGUAAAAAUGUCCCGGGGCAUUUCAGAUGCACUUUCCUGAUCUCCAUGGUGACGUGAGACAAUCCAAACAUACCAAACUAGC